AUUGAACGCUGGCGGCAGGCUUAACACAUGCAAGUCGAGCGGGGUGAAGUGCUUCGGUACUGAUCCUAGCGGCGGACGGGUGAGUAAUGCUUAGGAAUCUGCCAUUUAGUGGGGGACAACAUUCCGAAAGGGAUGCUAAUACCGCAUACGUCCUACGGGAGAAAGCAGGGGAUCUUCGGACCUUGCGCUAAAUGAUGAGCCUAAGUCGGAUUAGCUAGUUGGUGGGGUAAAGGCCUACCAAGGCGACGAUCUGUAGCGGGUCUGAGAGGAUGAUCCGCCACACUGGGACUGAGACACGGCCCAGACUCCUACGGGAGGCAGCAGUGGGGAAUAUUGGACAAUGGGGGGAACCCUGAUCCAGCCAUGCCGCGUGUGUGAAGAAGGCCUUUUGGUUGUAAAGCACUUUAAGCGAGGAGGAGGCUACCUAGAUUAAUACUCUGGGAUAGUGGACGUUACUCGCAGAAUAAGCACCGGCUAACUCUGUGCCAGCCGCCGCCGUAAUAC
rnacentral:rRNA from 1 species